UACAGAGGGGGCAAGCGUUGGUCGGAAUUACUGGGCGUAAAGGGCGCGUAGGCGGCCUUCUAAGUCGAACGUGAAAUCCCCGGGCUUAACCUGGGAACUGCAUUUGUGACUGCAUGGCUGGAGUGCGGCAGAGGGGGAUGGAAUUCCGCGUGUAGCAGUGAAAUGCGUAGAUAUGCGGAGGAACACCGAUGGCGAAGGCAAUCCCCUGGGCCUGCACUGACGCUCAUGCACGAAAGCGUGGGGAGCAAACAGG
rnacentral:rRNA from 1 species